GCGUUGUCCGGAAUUAUUGGGCGUAAAGAGCUCGUAGGCGGUUUGUCGCGUCGAAUGUGAAAACCCGGGGCUCAACCCCGGGCCUGCAUUCGAUACGGGCAGACUGGAGUUCGGUAGGGGAGUCUGGAAUUCCUGGUGUAGCGGUGAAAUGCGCAGAUAUCUGGAGGAACACCGGUGGCGAAGGCGGGUCUCUGGGCCGGUACUGACGCUGAGGUGCGAAAGCGUG
rnacentral:rRNA from 1 species